rnacentral:lncRNA from 1 species
GUGCAGGAGUACAGCCCAGCAUCCUAAAAUGAAAGGAAAUUUAAAAUUCAGCUAAACAUCUCUUAUGGAAUGAGACUUUGACUCUUAAUCUGAGUCUUAUUUUUAUUCAUGUCAAGCUGAGGUGAGAGAUAUACCAUGAACUAACUCCCUGAAAGACAUGAAUAAUAAGGGCAAACACAUUUUUCUAUUUGUAAAUCUUUAGACUGAUUGUUUGAAUAUUCUCCAUUUAUGUUCAUAGCUAUAGGUCUAAAUGUUUUUGGAGACACUUUUAGAAUACUUUCUCAGGCCAGGUGCCACAGCACAUACCUCUAAGAGGUAUGUAACUCAAGAGGCUAAGGAAGGAGCAUCACAAGUUUGAACCAGCCAUAGCAACUUAGUGAGAACUUUUCUAAAAAAAAAAAAAUGGUUCAGUGGUAAAACACCCCUGGGUUCCAUCCCCAGUACUUGAAAACCAAACAAAGUAUAACCACAAAGUAUUUCCCCAGAAUGAAUUUGGUGAUAAUACCUAUCAAAAAUCUUUCAUUUUUAAAUUAAUUUUUGCAGAGAUUUAUGACUGAAUGAUUUUUUUAUACUGGAGUCAUUUUUUGGAUAAGCUAUUUAUCAAUUUUAAGUGGAUCAUAGGGAUAGUGACUUAUGCUUUUCAAAUUCUCAUGAAAAUGACAUAUUGAAGUCAAUCUUGAUUAACAGUAAAAGUUAUCUGCUAAAGCAAGCAUGCAUUUAUAACGACCAUAAUAUUUUCUAAUUAUAAUGUUAUCUGAGAUGGACAGAAAAACCAGGAGAAAGAUGGGUGCCUUAGUUUGUGUGAGCUCCUAUUUAAAAAGUAUCAUUAAGUGGGUAGCUUAUAAACAGAAGAAAUUUACUUCUCAUUGUUUGGGGAGCCAAAAAGUCUUAGACCAAGGUACAGAUAGAUGGUAGAUUCAGUGCUGGUGAGGGUCUGCUUCCUAUUCAUAGGUGGUACUUGCUUGCUGGUCCUUAGAUGAUAGAAAGGGCAAGGCAGCUCUCUGGGAUCACUUUUAUAAGGAUGCAAUUCCAUUCAUGAGUGCUCCAACCCUAUGACCUAAUAUCUCCAAAAGGCCCUACCUCCAACUAGCACCACCUUAGUGGACAGAAUUUCAACAUAUGAAUUUGGAGGUGGGGAGCACAAACAUCC